rnacentral:rRNA from 1 species
UACGGGAGGCAGCAGUGGGGAAUAUUGCACAAUGGGCGCAAGCCUGAUGCAGCCAUGCCGCGUGUAUGAAGAAGGCCUUCGGGUUGUAAAGUACUUUCAGCGGGGAGGAAGGGUCGCUGGUUAAUAAUACCAGCGGCAUUGACGUUACCCGCAGAAGAAGCACCGGCUAACUCCGUGCCAGCAGCCGCGGU